UACAGAGGUCCCAAGCGUUGUUCGGAUUCACUGGGCGUAAAGGGUGCGUAGGUGGUGAGGUAAGUCGGAUGUGAAAUCUCCGAGCUCAACUCGGAAAUGGCAUUGGAAACUACCUUGCUCGAGGGUUGGAGGGGGGACUGGAAUGCUUGGUGUAGCAGUGAAAUGCGUAGAUAUCAAGCGGAACACCAGUGGCGAAGGCGGCUCUCUGGGACGGUACUGACGCUGAGACGCGAAAGCGUGGGGAGCGAACAGG
rnacentral:rRNA from 1 species